CACGUAGGGUGCGAGCGUUGUCCGGAAUUAUUGGGCGUAAAGAGCUCGUAGGCGGUCUGUCGCGUCGGCUGUGAAAACCCGGGGCUCAACUCCGGGCCUGCAGUCGAUACGGGCAGACUAGAGUUCGGUAGGGGAGACUGGAAUUCCUGGUGUAGCGGUGAAAUGCGCAGAUAUCAGGAGGAACACCGGUGGCGAAGGCGGGUCUCUGGGCCGAAACUGACGCUGAGGAGCGAAAGCGUGGGGAGCGAACAGG
rnacentral:rRNA from 1 species